rnacentral:lncRNA from 1 species
UGGCUUCUGGAGUCUUCUAGAUGGUAGAAAAUUGCGCGGUGCGUUGAUAUCUCUAUGUAAUCCUGACAUGUGGGCCUUUCUUCCUUAUUUCCUGAUAACCCCCUGCAGAAAUAGACAAACACCAAAACUCGUGGAAUUCUGUCAGAUAAAACCCUAAGUCUAGAUGUUGAUUUCAUUUAGAUCCUUUUCUUUGUUUAUUUGAUAAUUAAAUUUGAUACUUAAGGACCGUCAACAAACUCCCCCAAGCUUACCUCUUGCUCGUCCCUGAACAAGGAUGAACUCUAGAGUUUCUGCAGUGGUUUCAUGCCUUAAAAGUACACACGCAUUCAAGCAAGAUCUCAUCUCUAAGUUAGAAUAAACUGUUAAGACUUAAAACUUACUCAUUUUACCUUUCACCAUGGGGCUUGUAACCGUCACUUGUGUCUUGAGCAGUUAAAAGAUAGAACGGUCAAGUCAAGUGCCAUGUCUCUUAUUCUUGAUCAGCUAUAGCUCUGGGGUUUUUGCAGAUUUUUCAAAUAAAACUCAGAGAUUCCUUAUAUGACUCUCUCAGAUCUCUCUUUUGUGGUAUUUCUGGAUCCUUACCAAGGCAGUAAUGGUAUAUGCCUUCUCUCAAAGUAUGUGGUAUUUUUGGUACGAGGCAUAGUGAUAUUGCCUUCUCUCUCACCCUACUCUAAUAAGGUUCUGAUAUCUGGAGCUCAUAGGUGGGAGACAACUAAUACAUACUUACAAGACAUUUAUUGCAUAGUCAAACCAUGGAUCCAGAGAAACAAGUCAAUAAGUCAAAUCAAGAUGUGCAUGUGUGGCGAAUGAAUGGUGUAUGGUGAUGAUGAUGAUAAUAAUGGUGAAAGUCUAAUUCUACUUUUGCUCUUUUGAGGGGAUACAUACCUUUCUUGCACUUUGAACCUUUUUGGGGAGAAUGAGAUGCUCUAUAUUUUCUUUUUCUUUCCUCUCAGGUGGGUAUGUUGUACCCCUAAUUCUACUGUCGGACACUUGUCUAUUUUUACCUCUCGUCUCACUUUUUAUUUUCUUUCGAGGUUCCGGGCACUUGCCCCUUUUUAUUUCCUCGUAUUUUUCCUCUUUUUUUUAGAGCACUCAUCUCCUUAAAUAUUAUAGCAAGUGGUAGUAACCAAGAUAACUCGAGCAUUUAUUUUACAGGGAAUAACACGGGUAGGAAAAUAUUUUUGGCUAUUCUCUCCCGGGUUAGGAGUAGAAUAAUUUCGGGUGAAUGUGGAGAUGGAAAUGAGUGGAUAUAUGUGGAUGGUACUUCCGGAGUAGAAGUAGCAUGUAUGAGUGAACGUGCAAGUGAAACUUGAUUUUAACCACAUGACGAGCUCCUAAGGGUCUACACAGCUUGACCACACUCAAUGCUCAUAAGCAGUAAAGUAAAUAUGUGGCUCAAAGUCUAGCAAGCAUGUAUAUAUGGCUAUGGUAGGAAUUUAAACUCUCAUCAUACAGGAACUCAUCAUGUGAUAUUUUAAAGAUUUUUCAAAGAUAAAAUUCUCCAGAAUUCUAGCAUCUCUAGGAACAGAUAAACAGCAGCUCAACCUUCCCAUAUCAUAUCCGUUAACGACCUAGACUUUAGAUCAAGUACUCUUCCCACAAGUUCAGGUUUAGAGCAAAUCUUACUUCAUAACAGUCAUGCCUAAACUUGAGAGAGAUUUCAAUUUUAAGAACUAGUCAUGGCAGAGCAACUAUUCAUCAUUUCCAUGUGAGAGUUUAUCAUGAGUGUUCAUAGCAAACUUUAUUUAUUUAUUUAUUUAGCAAACUAAGCAAAGAUAUAUAUAUAUAAAAGCACAAAAAUUUUAUUUGGAUUUUCAUGAUUAUGCAUCUUUUAUCAUUUGAGUAAAGUAUAAACGCGAGUAGAAAUACUUAGCUGGAUAAAUGAGGGUGCUCUCCCCCAAGCUGGAUUUUGACGUAAUUUCUUCUGAUGUAGCUAGCAGGUGAUGGAGGUGUAUUUGAAAGUCGGCAGCACCCUGACAGCGAUUAGGAUGUCCUCCGUCUGCUAGUCUUCUUUGAUCCUUAAAUUAUGUGGAGCUCAAAUAGACAACAAAGCUUUGUGGAACUGGUUAAGUGUUAGCAUAAAUAUCUAGCCUUUAUCAUGUUGAGCCUCCUCAAUAAAUGUUACUUAUUUAGCAGGAUCAUGCACUUAUUAUUUUUAUAUUUUUAUUGUAAGAUGAAAACUUAUUUAUUUUAUUUUUAUGCCACCACAGUAAAUGUACUUAUGGGUUUUAUGCCAUGAGCAUACUCACAUGGGGCUUACUAUUUUUUUUAACAUUUUUAUUUUCUUUUCAAGAUAGCAUGAACCUGAUUAACUAAGCAAACUAUAAUUGAAUAAUUGAAAGGAAAAGGAUAACUACCAAGUUUACCUCUUGGCAAGGCGUUCGGUGUUUUUAAGUCCUCCGAACGGGACUCUCCGUUUUCUCAGUCGUCCUGGGAUUCGCUAGGUGGCGUAGUCGGUGAUUCCGGCGGCGCCUCCUCUUCGUAUAUAACUAUCUUCUCUCUCCACACCUGACUCGGUGCUAACAGUCUCCUCAGGACAGUUCUGUUCAAGCUAUAUGUCUUCAGACCUUAUCACUUCUCCUUCGUAGUCUACCCAUCCGUCCUUGAUGAUUUGCCUCCUCUGGUUGCGGUUGCGUUGUCUUCUUCUUGUCCUGACCUACUUAAAAUCUUCAACUAUAUAGUUAGAAUCAUUAAAGUAGUGGUGUACCUUCUCAGAGGGGAAGUGCAUGUGGACAUCUCCGGUCCCAAUGUAGAUGAUUGCUUUGAUAGUGUUGAGGAACGGUCUUCCAAGGAUGGUGGGUGCAUCAUACUCGUCUUCUCCCAUGUUAAUGACCUGAAAAUUACCUGGAGCCGAAUGUAUGUUGGUUGUAGGAGCAUGGUUCCAUGCAGGAGCUGAUAAGUAACUGUGGCCAUUAUGUUGUCGUCAAAUCCGGUGUCGUAGAGUGUCUUCUAAAAAGAGUAUCCAUUGAUUGUGCACUCAAUGCUUGGAACACUAGGGUCGUCCUUCUUGAUCAAGAAAGGUGACUUGAGUCGACGAUCUUGACCUCCUUGAGCUACAGUGACCAUCUCAGCUGACUCGGUCCACAUUUGCUUGUUCUUGUUCCUCCUAUUGGUCCUCUUCCUUGGUUCAUGUCAGGAUUGCUCUGAAGUUUGUGUAGUCUUGUUCUUAAAGGAAAGUCUUCUUCUUCCCUUUGAUGUAGAGACUGAUCUUGGCAGCAUUAGCGUAGAUGACAGCUCUGGUGGUUUGGAAUGGCCUCCCUAAGAUGAUGGGUGCCCUCUCCUCAGUACCAGUCUCUAUCACCACGAAGUUUGCUGGAGCGUACAAGGUACCAACUCGGACACAGAGGUUCUUCAAUAUUUCCUUUGGAAAACUAAGUGUCCGAUCUCCAUUGUGUUUUGUGCUCAUAGAUCCCGGUUCUUCACUUGGUGGAAUCUGGGAGUUGUAAAACUCCUCCAUGUUUUGUUUGAAGUGUACCUGUUCAUAGAGACAAGGCAGAGAUCAAGUGCAUGGGCCCUGUUGGUGGAAAACACCAACAGAACCAAAAGUGUAUUUGUUCUUCUCUAACCUUAAGCAUAGUGAGCAAGACAAAGUUGAUAGGAUCAUGAGUGUAGGAUUUGAAACAUUUGUCAGAUCAUAUAGCUCAACCUAAUGGAAAGAUAAUCUAUCUAUAAUUAUGUUUUGUUUAUAUCUUCCAAAGAUUGAAUGUGCAAUAUUUUAGCUUAUAUGAUUAGGAGUGUGGGAUCACGAAGGUAGUACUAAGAACAAAGAUUAAAGGACUAAACAUGUUGAAUUAAUUGAGUUGGUUAAUUUGGAGUUACAGAUCAUACAUGUUUGUCUCUUUAUUUAUGUCAAUGCUAGAACCAAGGAGAAACUUAUAAAAGUGAUAGUCAAGUACCUUAAAAUGUUACCUUACUUGAAGAGUGAUGGUAUAGUAUCACCUUAUGGAAGCUUUCCUUUCUUAGCGGUUGUGCAUCGUGUUUGUGGCACCCUCCAUGAAUCAUCUCUUAUGAGCUACGUCUUUCUUGUGCAAAUUGUUAAACUUCAUGUGUCUCCUUUAUCUCCAAUGAGUUUGUCUCAGGACUUCCCAGGUUGAUAUUGAAAGUUUUCCUGCAGGGGUUAGUCCAACAAAAUAUACCAAUGUCUACUUAAGCAGUUUUUAGUUCAGUAACCAAACUAGACUCCAUGUCUAAUCAGAUUAAGGAAGGCUGUUUAACCUACGCACCACGCUUAAUUUAAAAGCCAAUAGAAGUAUGUACAGUACUUCCAAACUAACACUUACUAGGAUAAGCAAAGGUAGCAUGAUGGCUUAUAAAGAUCUACUUAAGUGGAGAUGAAGUAGUGUGAUUAGUAUUUAACAAAUUGAGCAUGUCUCAAACGUAAGGACAACCAACAUAGC